rnacentral:lncRNA from 1 species
GCAAAGAAUGUUCAUAAAAGAGAAUUUUGAAAUAAACAAGUUAUAUAAUAAAACAAAACGAAAAUAUACAAAAGGAGAUGAAACUAGAACAGUGAAAUCAAUAAAAUAAUUCAAAAUAAUAUACUAAGAUAAUCUGUCAAAAAAAAUGAAUGAUGAAUAAUUCAUAAAAAUACAACAAUAUGAACUAAGAAACUUAAUUGGAAUAAAAACAAGAUCAGAAGGAUAAUUCACAAAUAAAUCAGAUUGUUAAAAUAGAAUUUAGGACCAGACUAAAAUGCGCUCAAAUGAGCAGGGACUUGGAAUGAAAAUAUACCGAAUCUCAAAACGCAGUGCUCAAAUAUGGAUUAAAUUGUAACAACGCGCAAAUCUCAGGGAAAAUGUAAAAAAUGAAUAAAACACGAUUGAGGCCUAAUUUGAGAUCGGCGCAGGAGGGGAGGGACUACGUGCAAAUUGACCUUUCAAGGUGAAAAUGCGCGGAUCCGAGCCUCCAAACAGGUCAACGUGCGGAUCUUUGUUUCCAAACGAUGCUGUUUCACUUUGUUAACACCAGAUCAAAAGAAAGGAAAAGAAAACCCUAAAAUUAACACUCAUCCACUUAAAAGCAAAUCAAAAAUAAAAAAACCUAAAGCUUAUUCCUCUUUAUUCAUUCGGCCGAACUUAAGGCAUCUUUCAACUGUCGAUCUAUCCCCAUAUUCGGCAAAUGAACAUCGCAUGAAGGCAUAAUCUGGCCUUGUUCGACCACGAGUCCACUCAGAAGCUUCAAGAUUCUCGCUUAAGCUUCGAUUACGACGAAGCAAGCAAAGACAUGAAGGAGCCAGCAUUAAGGUAAGUCAUUUUCUCCUUAUUUUUCUGUGAAAAAUCUAUAUGUAGGAACAAAGAAAAAAAACUAAAUCAGAACACGAAAAAAUAAAUAUGAAAUCACCUUAGUUUUUCAUUGCUUUUUCUUUUGUAUCUCGCAUUUCGUAAUCUCCAUUUUUACAGAUUACAUUCGGUUUUAUAGCUGAAGAGAAGAAAAAAUAAGAAUAAAUCAAAAAUAUCCAAUUUCCUUGCUGUUAUUUCUGUUUCUCGUGUAUUCUGUUGCAGGUACGAACAGAGCCAGCUGGAGGUGGUGACGCACGUGGGAUGAGGCAUGAAGACGCAUGUGGGGCUGGUACGGAGGCUGCAGCGGUUCGGUGGAAGCUACUGGAAACCAGCUACAGUGCAAGGGAAAGGGACCUUAGAGUUCCAAAAUAUUCAAUUUGCUUAGGUUAUUUGGGCCAAUUUUGGAAUUGGGCCAUUGGGUCUAUAAAUUAAGUUUAGCUUGGGUAAUAAUUUGGGCUAAAAACUUGUAUUUGGGUCUGGUGAAAAUUGUAAUGAAUUAUUUUGGAUUUUUGGCUUUAAUUUAAUUUGGGACUUUUUUAUAUAUAUUUUGGUUUUUUUAUUAUCUUUUGGGUUCAUAGUGGGCCGAGCAAAUUGGGCCUGCUACAAUAAUUAUUUAGACAUUAACUAGAGGCAUCCAAUCAAUAAUUUCUCUAAACC